GUUAAUGUAUUGCACGUUAAUGUAUUGCACGUGCAUCAACCAUUUUAUUCGUCGAAGCAGAAGUACAUUUGCACGUGCAUGUUCGACAUAAAUAACGAGACGUUUGUAUUGAUUAGAAUGGAUUGCCAAGCCCGAAUGUCUGCUGCAAUAAAGAUCAACUCGCAUGCAUUCACUUGAUACAUCUUGAUCUCCUGAUGGUUCACUUCUUUGGAAUUCACUUCUACAUUUUUUGUCUUCAACACCAUCCUGUACCGUUGGCCAGCUACCGGCAUGCUGUUGAUGAAAAAUCAUGGAUGCCAGUUGGGUGCACUGAUUAUUAGAAGAAAAGAUUGGAUAUCCACCUUCCACCAGCUUUUUUAUUGCAGGAUCGGCAGUCCAAGCAGCUCACCACUGAUGGAAUUACUGGGAGAUGUGUGGAUGGCGAAGCUGGUCUAGUAUCAGUAAGUCCGGCCCUUUAACUAUAGCUUCCUCUGCAAGUCUGUACUUCACCACCACUAGUCGAUACUAGCUGCAGCGCUGUGCUGUAUCAAUCCUGCACACAGUUUCUACUCCAGGGGAAUACGGUAAAUAAUGCAAUCUUAUUGGCUGCGCUGGAUACAAUAGGAAUAUUUGAUUGGAUAAAAACAAAGAAGGAUGUGGCUUGAAUUUUGUGAAUAAUGGGAAGAUGGAGAAGUUUGCUUGCAUCACCUUUGCUGACAUUUAUUCUCUGGUGGCAUCGGUCCACCUGUUUUAUUCACAUCGUUUGUGUCAAGAAAAAUUAAACGCUGGUAUUAAUUGAAAGUUUGUGUCGAAGAUAUUGCAUUGUUUGAUUCCAUUGAACACAGUCGAUAUUGAACUGACUGAAAGAAGUUUCACACUAAGAUUCGCUAAGUUCUAAAAGGUAAGAAUUAAUAUUUUAUAAAAUUGUAUUUCGACUUUUAGUUGUGAAGUAUUUCUUUUUACGGACUUUAAAUGGGUUUUGUUGUUUGAUCAUAUAUUCAGAUUGAAGAAUCAUCAGACAUGUCAGAUAUUAUUGACCUACCUACUCAUAAGGUACACUUGAUCACAACUUUUUAAAAUUUAAUUAAUGAAUAUUUUGAAAUUGCAGA